AGUGAACGCUGGCGGUAGGCCUAACACAUGCAAGUCGAACGGCAGCACAGUAAGAGCUUGCUCUUACGGGUGGCGAGUGGCGGACGGGUGAGGAAUACAUCGGAAUCUACUUUUUCGUGGGGGAUAACGUAGGGAAACUUACGCUAAUACCGCAUACGACCUACGGGUGAAAGCAGGGGAUCUUCGGACCUUGCGCGAUUGAAUGAGCCGAUGUCGGAUUAGCUAGUUGGCGGGGUAAAGGCCCACCAAGGCGACGCUCCGUAGCUGGUCUGAGAGGAUGAUCAGCCACACUGGAAGUGAGACACGGUCCCGACUCCUAGGGGAGGCAGCAGUGGGGAAUAUUAGACAAGGGGGGCGAGCCGGAUCCAGGCAUACCGGGUGGGUGAAGAAGGACUUCGGGUUGGAAAGCCCUGUUGUUGGGAAAGAAAAGCAGCAGGUUAAUACCCCGCUGUUCUGACGGUACCCAAAGAAUAAGCACCGGCUAACUUCGUG
rnacentral:rRNA from 1 species